rnacentral:rRNA from 1 species
GAGUUUGAUUAUGGCUCAGGAUGAACGCUGGCGGCGUGCCUAACACAUGCAAGUCGAGCGCGAUUAAGUGGAGUGCGAACUUCGGUUCAAGUGAAGCUUAUGAAAGCGGCGGACGGGUGAGUAACGCGUGGGUAACCUGCCCCAUACAAAGGGAUAGCCACUGGAAACGGUGAUUAAUACCUUAUAAGUCGGUAGUCUCGCAUGAGACAGCCGACAAAGAUUUAUCGGUAUGGGAUGGACCCGCGUCUGAUUAGCUAGUUGGUGAGGUAACGGCUCACCAAGGCGACGAUCAGUAGCCGACCUGAGAGGGUGAUCGGCCACACUGGAACUGAGACACGGUCCAGACUCCUACGGGAGGCAGCAGUGGGGAAUAUUGCACAAUGGGCGCAAGCCUGAUGCAGCAACGCCGCGUGAGUGAAGAAGGCCUUCGGGUUGUAAAACUCUGUCCUAUGGGAAGAAACAAAUGACGGUACCAUAGGAGGAAGCCCCGGCUAACUACGUGCCAGCAGCCGCGGUAAUACGUAGGGGGCAAGCGUUAUCCGGAAUCACUGGGCGUAAAGGGUGCGUAGGUGGCUUAUCAAGCCAGGGGUGAAAGGCAUUGGCUCAACCAAUGUAAGCCUUUGGAACUGAUAGGCUUGAGUGCAGGAGAGGUAAGUGGAAUUCCUAGUGUAGAGGUGAAAUUCGUAGAUAUUAGGAGGAACACCAGUGGCGAAGGCGACUUACUGGACUGUAACUGACACUGAGGCACGAAAGCGUGGGUAGCGAACAGGAUUAGAUACCCUGGUAGUCCACGCCGUAAACGAUGAAUACUAGGUGUCGGGCGUCAAAACUCGGUGCCGCAGCAACGCAUUAAGUAUUCCGCCUGGGGAGUACGCACGCAAGUGUGAACUCAAAGGAAUUGACGGGGACCCGCACAAGCAGCGGAGCAUGUGGUUUAAUUCGAGGCAACGCGAAGAACCCUUACCCGGUCUUGACAUCCCUCUGAAGUACGCUUAGCCGCGUAUGUCCUUCGGACAGGGGAGAACAGUGUGCAUGGUUGUCGUCAGCUCGUGUCUGAGAUGUGGGGUAGUCCCGCAACGAAGCGCAACCUUUGUGGUUUAGUUGGCCCACCG